AUUGAACGCUGGCGGCAGGCCUAACACAUGCAAGUCGAACGAGUGGCGGACGGGUGAGUAAUGUCUGGGAAACUGCCCGAUGGAGGGGGAUAACUACUGGAAACGGUAGCUAAUACCGCAUACCAUCGGAUGUGCCCAGAUGGGAUUAGAUAGUAGGUGGGGUAAAGGCUCACCUAGUCGACGAUCCCUAGCUGGUCUGCGAGGAUGACCAGCCACACGGGAACUGAGACACGGUCCAGACUCCUACGGGAGGCAGCAGUGGGGAAUAUUGCACAAUGGGCGCAAGCCUGAUGCAGCCAUGCCGCGUGUAGGAAGAAGGCCUUCGGGUUGUAAAGUACUUUCAGCGGGGAGGCGUUACCGGCAGAAGAAGCACCGGCUAACUCCGUGCCAGCAGCCGCGGUAAUUC
rnacentral:rRNA from 1 species